rnacentral:rRNA from 1 species
AGAGUUUGAUCCUGGCUCAGGAUGAACGCUGACAGAAUGCUUAACACAUGCAAGUCGAUGGGGAAGUGGUGCUUGCACCAUGGUAACCAUGGCGGACGGGUGAGUAACGCGUAAGGGACUUACCUGCGGGACUGGGAUAACAGCAGGAAACUGCUGAUAAGACCGGAUAAGGUCAUGGAGCUGCAUGGUUUCAUGAUGAAAGGAGACGCCUGCGGAGAGCCUUGCGUCCUAUUAGCUAGUUGGAGGGGUAACGGCCCACCAAGGCGAAGAUAGGUAGCCGGCCUGAGAGGGUGGACGGCCACAAGGGGACUGAGAUACGGCCCUUACUCCUACGGGAGGCAGCAGUGGGGAAUAUUGGACAAUGGGGGCAACCCUGAUCCAGCAAUUCUGUGUGCACGAAGACGGUUUUCGGAUUGUAAAGUGCUUUCAGCAGGGAAGAAGUAAGUGACGGUACCUGCAGAAGAAGCGACGGCUAAAUACGUGCCAGCAGCCGCGGUAAUACGUAUGUCGCGAGCGUUAUCCGGAAUUAUUGGGCAUAAAGGGCAUCUAGGCGGCCUAACAAGUCAGGGGUGAAAACCUGCGGCUCAACCGCAGGCUUGCCUUUGAAACUGUGAGGCUGGAGUAUCGGAGAGGUGGACGGAACUGCACGAGUAGAGGUGAAAUUCGUAGAUAUGUGCAGGAAUGCCGAUGAUGAAGAUAGUUCACUGGACGGUAACUGACGCUGAAGUGCGAAAGCUAGGGGAGCAAACAGGAUUAGAUACCCUGGUAGUCCUAGCUGUAAACGAUGAUUACUGGGUGUGGGCAUGAAGAGUGUCCGUGCCGAAGCUAAUGCGAUAAGUAAUCCGCCUGGGGAGUACGGCCGCAAGGCUGAAACUCAA